GCAAGAUACCACGGGCGCACGGCGGAUGCCUUGGCACAGGGAGCCGAUGAAGGACGCGGCAAGCUGCGAUAAUCCCCGGCGAGGAGCACACAUCCUUCGACCCGGGGGUCUCCGAAUGGGCGAACCCAUCCGUAGCAGUACGGAUAUCCCGAUCCUGAACACAUAGGGGCCGGGAGGACAACCCGGGGAACUGAAACAUCUAAGUACCCGGAGGAGAGGAAAUCAAUCUCGAGACUCCCCGAGUAGCGGCGAGCGAAAGGGGACCGAUGGCCAAACCGUCGAGCGGGCGUACCCGGCAGGGGUUCCGCCGGCGGGGUUGCAGGGCCGCGCAUCCGGGGGCUGCCGCCCCCGGGCGCAGGUCCGGCUGGGGAGCGGAACGGCAUGGGAGGGCCGGCCGCAGCGGGUGACAGCCCCGUACGCGAACCCAGACCGGACGGCGCGACGCGGUCCCUGAGUAGGGCCGGGCACGUGAAACCCGGUCCGAACCUGGGUGGACCACCAUCCAAGCCUGAGUACUACCCUGUGACCGAUAGCGCACCAGUACCGUGAGGGAAAGGUGAAAAGCACCCCGGGAGGGGAGUGAAACAGUACCUGAAACCGUGCGCCCACGAGCAGUCGGAGCACCCUUGUGGUGUGACGGCGUGCCUUUUGUAGAAUGAGCCAGCGAGUCGCUGGCGCGGGGCGAGGUUAACCGAAAGGGAGCCGGAGCGAAAGCGAGCCUUAACAGGGCGACUUGAGUCCCGCGCCGCGGACGCGAAGCCGGGUGAGCUAUCCGUGGGCAGGCUGAAGCGGGGGUAAGACCCCGUGGAGGGCCGAACGCACGUCGGUUGAAAACGGCGGCGAUGACCUGCGGAUAGGGGUGAAAGGCCAAUCAAACCCGGAGAUAUCUCGUUCUCCCCGAAAUAGCUUUAGGGCUAGCGUCGCGCGUUCACCGCCGGAGGUAGAGCACCGGAUGGACGAGGGGGCUUCGCCGCCUACCGAAUCCAACCGAACUCCGAAUGCCGGCGGCCCAGAGCGCGGCAGUCAGAGCAUGUGGGCUAAGCUGUGUGCUCGAGAGGGAAACAGCCCGGACCGCCCGCUAAGGUCCCCAAGUUCCAGCCGAGUGGCAAAGGAUGUGCGUCCGCCCAGACAACCAGGAUGUUGGCUUAGAAGCAGCCAUCCAUUCAAAGAGUGCGUAACAGCUCACUGGUCGAGUGGACAUGCGCCGACAAUACACGGGGCUAAGCUGGACACCGAAGCGGCGGGAUUUUAUCUAUAUAGAAUCGGUAGGGGAGCUUCCCAUGGGCGGUGAAGCCGCCGGGCGACCGGCGGUGGAGCGCAUGGGAGUGAGAAUGCUGGCAUGAGUAGCGAGAGACGAGAGAGUAACUCGUCCGCCGUGAACCCGAGGUUUCCUGGGCAAGGCUAAUCCUCCCAGGGUCAGUCGGGGGCUAAGGCGAGGCCGGAAGGCGUAGCCGACGCGCAGCAGGCAGACAUUCCUGCACCGCGCACGCGGCGCUACGACCGACGGGGCGACGGAUGGGGGUGGCUCGGCGGGGUUCUGGACGUCCCCGUGAUGGAGCGCGGCCCGCGGACCAGGGAAAUCCGGUCCGCACGAGGGCGAGGCUCCGGACGAAGCGAUCAAGCGAAGCGAGUGAGCCCGAGGUCCCUAGAAAAACCCCUAGGCAGGCGCGUGCGCGCCCGUACCGCAAACCGACACAGGUGGGUGGGUAGAACAUACCGAGGCGAUCGGGUCAACCAUGGUCAAGGAACUCGGCACAAUGGCCCCGUAACUUCGGGAGAAGGGGUGCCCGCGCGUACGUGAACGGACUUGCUCCGGGAGCGGAGGCGGGCCGCAGUGGAGAGGCCCAAGCGACUGUUUACCAAAAACACAGGACUCUGCAGAAGCCGCAAGGCGACGUAUAGGGUCUGACGCCUGCCCGGUGCCGGAAGGUCACGCGGAGGAGUUAGCCGCAAGGCGAAGCCCCGAAGCCAAGCCCCGGUAAACGGCGGCCGUAACUAUAACGGUCCUAAGGUAGCGAAAUUCCUUGUCG
rnacentral:rRNA from 1 species